rfam:Picoides pubescens contig45712, whole genome shotgun sequence.
AAGAAAUGAUGAAAUUAUGUCUGCUACAGAAAAUGCAAUGAUACUAAAAUGAUGAGUUUUAACACUGAUCAGU